GUCGUCCUUGAUUAGUCUGUGCAGCGCAAGGUGUCGUCCUUGAUUAGUCUGUGCAGCGCAAGGUGUCGUCCUUGAUUAGUCUGUGCAGACUGCACAAGGUGUCGUCCUUGAUUAGUCUGUGCAGACUGCACAAGGUGUCGUCCUUGAUUAGUCUGUGCAGACUGCACAAGGUGUCGUCCUUGAUUAGUCUGUGCAGACUGCACAAGGUGUCGUCCUUGAUUAUUCUGUGCAGCGCAAGGAGUCGUCCUUGAUUAGUCUGUGCAGCGCAAGGAGUCGUCCUUGAUUAGUCUGUGCAGACUGCAAAAGGUGUCGUCCUUGAUUAGUCUGUGCAGCGCAAGGUGUCGUCCUUGAUUAGUCUGUGCAGACUGCACAAGGUGUCGUCCUUGAUUAGUCUGUGCAGACUGCACAAGGUGUCGUCCUUGAUUAGUCUGUGCAGACUGCACAAGGUGUCGUCCUUGAUUAGUCUGUGCAGACUGCACAAGGUGUCGUCCUUGAUUAUUCUGUGCAGCGCAAGGAGUCGUCCUUGAUUAGUCUGUGCAGACUGCACAAGGUGUCGUCCUUGAUUAGUCUGUGCAGCGCAAGGUGUCGUCCUUGAUUAGUCUGUGCAGCGCAAGGUGUCGUCCUUGAUUAGUCUGUGCAGACUGCACAAGGUGUCGUCCUUGAUUAGUCUGUGCAGACUGCACAAGGUGUCGUCCUUGAUUAGUCUGUGCAGACUGCAAAGGCUAAUCUGGGGCUACACUUCAGGCACAUGCAUUUAGUCCAG